rnacentral:rRNA from 1 species
UACAGAGGGGGCAAGCGUUGUUCGGAAUUACUGGGCGUAAAGCGUGCGCAGGCGGUUAUGUAAGUCAGAUGUGAAAUGCCCGGGCUUAACCUGGGAACUGCAUUUGUGACUGCAUGGCUAGAGUGUGUCAGAGGGGGGUAGAAUUCCACGUGUAGCAGUGAAAUGCGUAGAUAUGUGGAGGAAUACCGAUGGCGAAGGCAGCCCCCUGGGAUAACACUGACGCUCAUGCACGAAAGCGUGGGGAGCAAACAGG